AGUCGACAUCAACUUUUGUUUUGCAGCCGAUUUGGCUUUCUCAGCAAUUUCCUUGGAAAGUGUAGGCAGAGUUGUCGGAUCGGGAGUUGGCUGUGUUGGAAUAUGCCGCUCUACCAAUGCAGUUGGGGACCUUGCUGUCUCCACAGAGGCUGCAGGAGGAUUCAUGGCUGUUUGCCAAAGUUGAACGAAGAUAAAGGCGAAUGGAGAGCUCUUCAUGAGAUGAAACCUCAGCUACGGCAAAAAGGAACUGAGAUAAUCGCCAGGACGGGCGGACCACGUGUACUGGGGGGGGGGCGGUCUUGAUGAAUGCAUGAUAAAGCUCUAGAAUAUUCUGGAAAUCUCUGCGCAACUGCAGAAUAAACCCUAUGUGUAGUUCA